AUACUGAGCUUCAGGUAAUGCACUGAUUUUCAGCCUGAAGUUUUUCUAAGCUGUACUUGUAUUUCUUUGGUAUAGAUAACACUGUGCAGUUAAGGAUUUGCUCCACAUAAAUGUGCACAUGAUUACACUUGAACUUAAGGCUAAGAUUACCUGCAUCUGAUACAAGGAUAUUCAUGUGAUUCUGUCAAGAACAGCAUCUGCAAUUUGUGGGGAAAAAAAACAGCUGGUUUGUACUAUGUGCUUGAGUGUUAAUUCAUCCUCAGGUGUCAUUCAUCUGCAGAUUUCUGAGUAAAUUCCUUCUUAAACAAUUAAGAUAAGCACUUGUUUGAAAAAAAAGAGAGCAAGAUUAACGUAGCUGACUGGAAAUUGUGAUGUCCUGUGUUUUCAGUAUGGCUCACUGAAGGUAGAGACAGUCACAACAUGAGUAUGUUGUUCUGUAAUACAGAGAGCGAAUGUAGCACAAAUAUCAGACUAUAGUGCAAGUACAGUGUAACACUUGUGGGAGUGUGAAAGGAAUACUUGAAGCAGGUAGGGCUUGUGUGUAGAAGUGUUCACCAUCUGCAGCAACAGUCCUGUCCCAAGUUCUCUUGUAUGCACACUUUUACUGUAUUCCAGAAGAUAAAAUCACAAGCCUUACCAUGAAUAUUUACUCCUUAUAACUUACUUAUAAUUUACUCCUCCCUAAAAGUUCUCCACCUUAGUCAGAUGGACCUCUGUAUUUUCCUCCUUUUGAUAGUGUUCUCUUAAUACCAAAAAGAAGCACCAAAAUUACACGUAGAUCAAGGGAACAAACAAGGAGCAAUGUUCAGAAAUCACACCAUUCCUUGGCUGAGGAUUUAUAAGGAGAUGUAACAGAACAACGAGCCAUGCUUUUAUCAACCAAAUAUGAGCUUUCUUCACAAUUUUGAAGUCUUUUUUAAGAUUCAGCCAUUUUGAAAUCCAGGAAAUGAUCCUGAAGAAUCCCACGCUUACGUUCCUAAGUAUGAACCAUGAGAGCUUCUGAGUGGACUAACUGAAGAAGAUCUGCAGCCAUCAGGGCUUCACACUCAUGCUUUCCACGUAAUCUGCCUUAGAAGUUACCCUUCGCAACAGGACCAGUCUCUAGAUGCUAAGAAUUCCAAGAAUCAUCAAGUCCAACAUCUACUAAAGCAGGACUGAGAGUUUAGCCAGCAAAGUGCAGCCAGGGGCUUGCUGGAGGAUUUUGUCUCAGAAGACCCCAACAAUGAAAAUCUAUUGGGUAAGCGUGAAGAGAGGCUGAGAUACUGCUGCUAUCCAUGUGGGAAGGAGGAGAGCUGAAAGCAGGCUUCUCUUGAGGAUGGAGCCAGUCCCCCAGAAUAUACUGAACUAUACAACAGAGGCCAAAGUAAACAACAUCCAGCAAAAAGUAUUUGCAGGCGUAGAUAAAGCUUAGCUCUUCCCUCCGCACGUAGUAGAUUCUGUCCUCUUGACAGCGAUCCGCUGAGGGUAACCGUGAUAUUUUCUUCAGGUACUGAGGGAACCACUGCUGGCUGGGCUAAGCAGUACAGAUCUGCACCACUGCUGGUGGAGAAGGAAACAUACUGUAUGUUGUCAAAGCUCUCAACGACUCAGAGAUGUUCUCUUCUCAGUGUUUGCUUGCUUCUCAGCAGGGCAGCUGCUGUUACUGCUGCUGAGAGCAGGCUUACAAUUUUUCUUAAGGUAAGAAGAAGGUAUCAACGCGGAAAGGAAGAGUCUAAAAGGCACUUGGACUGCAUUAGUUAAAACUUACUGUGGUAAACUGGGGUUGGUUUGUAUCUCUCACAAAGUCUGUUUGUUUACAAAGGACACUAAGACUUGUCACAUCAUGGCAAUAGGUUCUUCAUGCUUUUUUCCCGACAGCUGAUUGGACAUGUGCAGUCCCUAUGCGGGGGCAGAGGUUAGUGAAGUUUUCUAUAUGGCUUGUAGUUUUUUUUUUUCUCUUCUCUCUACCAUCAGCAAUCUGGCAAACAGCCAUUUGAAACUUCAAGAUUACAGAACACUCUUCUAAAUGUGACCUCUUUUGGGAGAUGGUCUCUCGGGUUGGAAAUAUUCUAUUACUUUCCAAGUUACCAACUGGAAAACAAUGAAACAUCCCUGACCAGUAUUCCUCUAGACACACGGUGAGAAGUCCCCUGUAUGGGCAACCUGCACACAAGGAACCAUUUAUUAAACAAGAUCUCAAAACAGAUGGUUGAAGUCACAGCAAAAUCUGUGCAGAUGAAAGCAGCAAGCCUCAAUUGCAAUGACUCUAACUAGGCUGGCAGGGGAAUUCUCCUAGCUGCAGAACAUUUUCUUGCUGGUCAACCUUGACAGCUCACCAUUGCUUGAGGAAGCAGAGCCAAUCUAUCACUUUUAGCACUUCAGCAGGUGAUUAACCAGCAGCUGAGUCAUCCCUGGCCAGGGCUAGCACAUCCCAAACCAGGGGAGGGGUGGAUUGCUGGGGAAAGGAAGCACAACAAAUCUUCCUCUGCUAAUUCAUGCCAUCUGGAAGUGACAGCCUGUGGGCCUGCAGCUUUAUUUGCAAAAUAUUGUUUACGAUUUUUAUUACAAGGACUAUAGGGAAUAAGACUUAAUUAUAUUUAACAGUUCAUCAUCAUUACACAAACUGUUGUUCAGCAUUCAGCUUCAGAAAACAGGAAGCAAUACUCAUAA